rnacentral:rRNA from 1 species
UACGGGGGGGGGCAAGCGUUGUUCGGAAUUACUGGGCGUAAAGGGUUUGUAGGUGGCUCGCUAAGUCACACGUGAAAUCCCUCAGCUUAACUGGGGAACUGCGUGUGAGACUGGCAAGCUCGAGUGCAGGAGAGGAAUGCGGAAUUCCAGGUGUAGCGGUGAAAUGCGUAGAUAUCUGGAGGAACACCGGUGGCGAAGGCGGCAUUCUGGACUGCAACUGACACUGAAAAACGAAAGCCAGGGGAGCAAACGGG